rnacentral:tRNA from 1 species
UCCCUAGAGGACUAGCGGUUAAGCCACAGCGCUCUCACUGCUGCAGCCUGGGUUUGAUUCCUGGCCAGGGAA